GAAGCACAUUGCGUACUGUGAAACCAAAAUAGUUUGAACGGGAAUACUCGUGUCGUGAUUUGUGUUGGGGAGAUUCAAGACUCGCCUGAUGCCUUAUAUUGAUGCUUGGAUUGCAUCAGGAAUAGCAGACAUCUUUGAGGGAAACCGAGCAACCAGACGUCGUCCCUCCGUGGCUGCAUCCGGUACAACUUUUCCGCGUGGAAUCCGUACAAUGGAUUCAUGACGAAUUUGCCCGGCUCACUCUUCACCAGUCCGGACGUGUAACCAGGGAAAUGGGGUCGUAGUUUUUUCCAUUCAUUUUGGGGCAUGCUGUAAAACUGGACUCUCAGCUGGAGCUGGUUAAAGUUGUUGUCGUUGGACAGAGACAUGGUUCUGCUUGCGGCUCAAGUACCUGACAGUCUGCGUCACACUGUCAAUUUGCCUCUUAAUUCUUAUUUGUGUACCUUAAAACAAUUCCGAUACAGCCAGGCCAAUUGUGAGGCAUCCUUUA